rnacentral:rRNA from 1 species
AACGAACGCUGGCGGCAUGCCUAACACAUGCAAGUCGAACGAGACCUCCGGGUCUAGUGGCGCACGGGUGCGUAACGCGUGGGAAGCUGCCCUUAGGUUCGGAAUAACUCCCUGAAAGGGGUGCUAAUACCGGAAAAUGUCUUCGGACCAAAGAUUGAACGCCUUUGGAUGGGCACGCGUUGGAUUAGCUAGUUGGGAGGGUAAAAGCCUACCAAGGCGACGAUCCAUAGCUGGUCUGAGAGGAUGAUCAGCCACACUGGGACUGAGACGCGGCGCAGACUCCUACGGGAGGCAGCAGUGGGGAAUAUUGGACAAUGGGCGAAAGCCUGAUCCAGCUAUGCCGCGUGAGUGAUGAAGGCCUUAGGGUUGUAAAGCUCUUUUACCCGGGAUGAUAAUGACAGUACCGGGAGAAUAAGCUCCGGCUAACUCCGUG